rnacentral:rRNA from 1 species
GGAUGAACGCUAGCGGCAGGCCUAACACAUGCAAGUCGAGGGAGAAGCCCUUUCGGGGGCAGAAACCGGCGCACGGGUGCGUAACGCGUAUGCAACCUACCUUUCACAGGGGGAUAGCCCGAAGAAAUUUGGAUUAAUACCCCAUAAUAUUGUUGGAUGGCAUCAUCUGGCAAUUAAAGCUACGACGGUGGAAGAUGGGCAUGCGUCCUAUUAGCUAGUUGGAGUGGUAACGGCACCCCAAGGCUACGAUAGGUAGGGGUCCUGAGAGGGAGAUCCCCCACACUGGUACUGAGACAGGGACCAGACUCCUACGGGAGGCAGCAGUGAGGAAUAUUGGUCAAUGGUCGGAAGACUGAACCAGCCAUGCCGCGUGCAGGAAGAAUGCCUUAUGGGUUGUAAACUGCUUUUAUAUGGGAAGAAUAAGGCGUACGUGUACGUUGAUGACGGUACCAUAUGAAUAAGCAUCGGCUAACUCCGU